rnacentral:rRNA from 1 species
GAACGCGAAAGGGAGCAAUCCCCGGUAGCGUGGCAGACGGGUGAGUAACACGUGGGUAACCUACCCGGAGGUGGGGGAUAACCCUUCGAAAGGAGGGCUAAUACCGCAUGACACCGUGGGGACCUCGGUCCUUGCGAUCAAAGCUGGCCUCUGUUUACAAGCUAGCGCCACCGGAUGGGCCCGCGCCCCAUUAGCUAGUUGGUGAGGUAACGGCUCACCAAGGCGACGAUGGGUAGCCGGCCUGAGAGGGCGAUCGGCCACACUGGCACUGAAACACGGGCCAGACUCCUACGGGAGGCAGCAGUGGGGAAUCUUGCACAAUGGAGGAAACUCUGAUGCAGCGACGCCGCGUGAGCGAUGAAGCCCUUCGGGGUGUAAAGCUCUUUCGACGGAACGAUAAUGA